GAUGAAGAACGCAGCGAAAUGCGAUAAGUAAUGUGAAUUGCAGAUUUCAGUGAAUCAUCGAAUCUUUGAACGCACAUUGCGCCUGCCAGCACUCUGGCAGGCAUGCCUGUUCGAGCGUCAUUUCAACCAUCAAGCCCUAGGCUUGCGUUGGAGCCCUGCGGCUGCCGCAGGCCCCUAAAAGCAGUGGCGGGCUCGCUAUCACACCGAGUGCAGUAGAUUACUCUUCGCUCAGGGCGUGUGGCGGGUUCCAGCCGUGAAACCCCCUACUUCUCAAGGUUGACCUCGGAUCAGGUAGGAAUACCCGCUGAACUUAAGCAUAUCAAUAAGCGGAGGA
rnacentral:misc_RNA from 1 species